rnacentral:rRNA from 1 species
GAUGAACGCUGGCGGCGUGCCUAAUACAUGCAAGUCGAGCGAACGGACGAGAAGCUUGCUUCUCUGAUGUUAGCGGCGGACGGGUGAGUAACACGUGGAUAACCUACCUAUAAGACUGGGAUAACUUCGGGAAACCGGAGCUAAUACCGGAUAAUAUUUUGAACCGCAUGGUUCAAAAGUGAAAGACGGUCUUGCUGUCACUUAUAGAUGGAUCCGCGCUGCAUUAGCUGGUUGGUAAGGUAACGGCUUACCAAGGCAACGAUGCAUAGCCGACCUGAGAGGGUGAUCGGCCACACUGGAACUGAGACACGGUCCAGACUCCUACGGGAGGCAGCAGUAGGGAAUCUUCCGCAAUGGGCGAAAGCCUGACGGAGCAACGCCGCGUGAGUGAUGAAGGUCUUCGGAUCGUAAAACUCUGUUAUUAGGGAAGAACAUAUGUGUAAGUAACUGUGCACAUCUUGACGGUACCUAAUCAGAAAGCCACGGCUAACUACGUGCCAGCAGCCGCGGUAAUACGUAGGUGGCAAGCGUUAUCCGGAAUUAUUGGGCGUAAAGCGCGCGUAGGCGGUUUUUUAAGUCUGAUGUGAAAGCCCACGGCUCAACCGUGGAGGGUCAUUGGAAACUGGAAAACUUGAGUGCAGAAGAGGAAAGUGGAAUUCCAUGUGUAGCGGUGAAAUGCGCAGAGAUAUGGAGGAACACCAGUGGCGAAGGCGACUUUCUGGUCUGUAACUGACGCUGAUGUGCGAAAGCGUGGGGAUCAAACAGGAUUAGAUACCCUGGUAGUCCACGCCGUAAACGAUGAGUGCUAAGUGUUAGGGGGUUUCCGCCCCUUAGUGCUGCAGCUAACGCAUUAAGCACUCCGCCUGGGGAGUACGACCGCAAGGUUGAAACUCAAAGGAAUUGACGGGGACCCGCACAAGCGGUGGAGCAUGUGGUUUAAUUCGAAGCAACGCGAAGAACCUUACCAAAUCUUGACAUCCUUUGACAACUCUAGAGAUAGAGCUUUCCCCUUCGGGGGACAAAGUGACAGGUGGUGCAUGGUUGUCGUCAGCUCGUGUCGUGAGAUGUUGGGUUAAGUCCCGCAACGAGCGCAACCCUUAAGCUUAGUUGCCAUCAUUAAGUUGGGCACUCUAAGUUGACUGCCGGUGACAAACCGGAGGAAGGUGGGGAUGACGUCAAAUCAUCAUGCCCCUUAUGAUUUGGGCUACACACGUGCUACAAUGGACAAUACAAAGGGCAGCGAAACCGCGAGGUCAAGCAAAUCCCAUAAAGUUGUUCUCAGUUCGGAUUGUAGUCUGCAACUCGACUACAUGAAGCUGGAAUCGCUAGUAAUCGUAGGUCAGCAUGCUACGGUGAAUACGUUCCCGGGUCU